AUUAGGACGAAAACCCCGUGGAAGAUGCUAUCUCUGCGGGAGAAAUAAUCAUUUUGCGUGAGAAUGCCGCACGCAUAAUUUUACGUUCAGGGCUCCAUCUACUGUUGAUAAGAUAUUGCAGGACUCAACCCCACGUGGCUGAUCAAGAUGGCGCGGAUCAGCCCACCUUCUCGCCGUCAUUUCUUCCUAGCAGGAGAACAAAAAACUUCCGGUCGGCCCCUCCCCAGGCCGAGCAAAAAUACGGGGAAUUGGAGAAGGGGUCGCACAGUGUGACGUCACUGGUGCCGAUCAGGAACAGUCCGCCAUUUUUACCUGAACGUAAAUCACAAACAGUUUCCUUACGACCCUCAAUGACAAUUGAAUUGAAUCCUGAAUCAGGGCCAAAACAAAUCUCUACUGGGAUUUUCGGGCUGCUUCCUGAUAAUACUAUAGGUUUAAUUUGGGGACGUAAUAAUUUAAAAGGAGCCAUUGAGGUAAUACCUGGAGUGAUAGAUUCAAAUUUUAAAGGACAAUUAAAUGUCACUGUAAGGUCCAAUUAUGCCCUAAGGCUUACUCCAAAGGAUGCAUUUGCCCAAUUGAUUUUAUUGCCCUGUGAUUCGGAUAAACACCCGCAAGUAAAUUUAGUUUCUAAACUGCCAGACUGAGUGUACUGGUCUCAGUUAGUGUGACAAGAACGCCCUUUAUUAGAACUUAAAAUUAAUCAUAAAAAGUUCCAGGGAAUUCUCGACACAGGGGCCGACAUUUCUGUCUUUUCUAGUAGAUUCUGGCCU
rnacentral:lncRNA from 1 species